AUGACGACGUGUGCGUGCGUUUGUGCACACCGCGCCCUCCGAAUGCACAACACAUGUGUUUACCAUCACACAUUCCUUCUAUUCCAUCAGGUUUGUGUUCUCUCCCUCUCACGUAUCGCCUCCGCCUCUUCCUCUCACAUAUCUGCUCCUCUUCCUCUCCCUCCUGUCUCCUCCUCUCCUCUCCCUCCUGUCUCCUCUCCUCUCCCUCCUGUCUCCUCUCCUCUCCCUCCUGUCUCCUCUCCCUCCUGUCUCCUCCUCUCCUCUCCCUCCUGUCUCCUCUCCUCUCCCUCCUGUCUCCUCUCCUCUCCCUCCUGUCUCCUCUCCCUCCUGUCUCCUCUCCUCUCCCUCCUGUCUCCUGUCCUCUCCUCCUGUCUCCUCUCCUCUCCCUCCUGUCUCCUCUCCUCUCCCUCCUGUCUCCUCUCCUCUCCCUCCUGUCUCCUCUCCUCUCCCUCCUGUCUCCUCUCCUCUCCCUCUUGUCUCCUCCUCUCCCUCCUGUCUCCUCUCCUCUCCCUCCUGUCUCCUCUCCUCUCCCUCCUGUCUCCUCUCCUCUCCCUCAUGUCUCCUCUCCUCUCCCUCCUGUCUCCUCUCCUCUCCCUCCUGUCUCCUGUCCUCUCCUCCUGUCUCCUCUCCUCUCCCUCCUGUCUCCUCUCCUCUCCCUCCUGUCUCCUCUCCCUCCUGUCUCCUCUCCUCUCCCUCCUGUCUCCUCUCCCUCCUGUCUCCUCUCCUCUCCCUCCUGUCUCCUCUCCUCUCCCUCCUGUCUCCUCCUCCCCUCCUGUCUCCUCCUCACCUCCUGUCUCCUCUCCUCUCCUGUCUCCUCUCCUCCCCUCCUGUCUCCUCCUCACCUCCUGUCUCCUCUCCUCUCCUGUCUCCUCUCCUCUCCUGUCUCCUCUCCUCUCCCUCCUGUCUCCUCUCCUCUCCCUCCUGUCUCCUCCCCUCCCCUCCUGUCUCCUCCUCCCCUCCUGUCUCCUCCUCCCCUCCUGUCUCCUCUCCUCUCCUGUCUCCUCUCCUCUCCCUCCUGUCUCCUCUCCUCCCCUCCUGUCUCCUCCUCCCCUCCUGUCUCCUCCUCCCCUCCUGUCUCCUCCUCCCCUCCUGUCUCCUCUCCUCUCCUGUCUCCUCUCCUCCCCUCCUGUCUCCUCUCCUCUCCAGCCCACCAUCUUCACAGACUCCUCUUGCCUGACCUUUCAGCUGCCGACAUUGUCUCCUCCUCCGUCUCCUGUUACAUCCAAACUUUAUCCUCCAUCUUCUCCUAUAUCGCCCCCCUCGGCCUUCCACCGGCCUCCCACCCUCUCACCUUUCUACUCCUGUAAUCCCCCCCCCCCCCCCCACACACACACACACACACACACACACACACACACACACACACACACACACACACACACACACACACACACACACACACACACACACACAACCUCCAUUUUACCUGCCAGUCUGUUUAUAUAA
rnacentral:lncRNA from 1 species